rnacentral:lncRNA from 1 species
CACAGACAUGCACGGAGAGAUGACCCUGUGAGGACACAGAGGGGAAGAGGCCCAGCUGCAGGCCACAGAGAGAAGCCUCAGGAGGAACCACCCUGACCACACCGUCAUCUCCCACUUCCAGCCUCCAGGACUGUGAAAGAAUAAGUGUCUGUUUUCUAAGUCGCUGGUCUGUGCUAUUUUGUGCUGGAAGCCCCAGCAAACAAACAGUACUGCUUCUCCUCUUACUUCAGAAAGUUGUAAAUAAAAUAUUGUUAUCUCAGAACUGUAAUCUAGGCAUGUAGGACAUUCCAUGAGAAAACAAACAAACAAACAAAACCUAAUUAGAAGCAUGGAAAAUGCAAAAAUAGAGCUCAGGUCAACAAUUAAUAAAUAUUUAGUUGGGUAAUAAAAUAUCGCUGUUGCCUCAAACUGGUAGCAAUUUAGUGGAAAACCAGAGUCAACCCCCGGAGCACAGACCUAGGGGGUUCCAAUACAGUCUUUUCUGCAAAACACCAGUGUCACUUCCACCUGGUAUCGUGUCACCUGUCUCUGUCUUUCUACGCCCUUUCCUCCCUCUGUGUGCUUCUCCAGGUGCUCACAUCUCCCUCUUUCGUGAGGGGUUAAGUGAUGUUGAGAGCUGCCCAACGCAGAGGCAGAAAAAUGUAUGUUUGAAAACUUACUCUAAGGAUUCCUCCAACCACCAGCCUCAGACCUACUUCACAACUACCGAUUAUAUUUCCAGGUCAAUUGGCUAACUGAAGUGUAUCUCUGUCUGCCAGCUUAAAUAUUAUUAUUUAUUCUUGAAACAACAACAACAAAAAAAGGAAACCAUAUGUCUAAAUGCUUCAGAAAUGGUCCCUUUUUCAAUCAGCGCAUCUUGAACAACAUAUGUGUGUAUCAUCUUUAUUAAGUGAGAACUAGGGAGCCACAUUUUUUAUGGUGCCUUCACAGAUUGGUGUUUUCCAAAUAGGAACAAUUUACAUCAUCACGAUACAUCUCUUUUGGUGUAGGAAAUAUUUCUGCUCAGAAAAUACAGGGUUAGCACUUGGCUUGCUUUAGUCCGGAUAUCCCAUAAAUGUGUUCUGAAGAAACAUGUAGAUGGGAGAAAAUGAAUAACUAUUAUUCAAAUGUCUGGAAUAAAACAAAUUCACAAACACACGUAUAUACAAACAGUAAUCUGACUUGAGAAAGUUCUUAGGGGUGCACUUGUAUCAAGAUCUCUAAUGAGGGUGUGGCUUUAUGAAAUCAAAUACAUGGAAGUACAGCAUAAAAUUAUAAAUCAAAAUUCAUUUUUUGUGCUUACCCAGGGAAGACUAUAAACCAGUUUACAUUAGUAUUAAUUUCUUCAAUUUUUAAAUUUCUUAAGUAGUAUAUAUUCCUUUAAAAAUAGUAUCUUGGAUUGCAUAACCAUAUUUGACUUUGCAGUCACACUUCUGCCUCCUGGCUGCCAAAAAAUCCUUCAAGCAGGGAACCCCUUAUUUUUAAACAUGUAAAAUGACCACUCCCCUCAUCACAAAAGAAGUGUGACAUAGGCAAGCCUUGAAAUUCACAUUCAUAAAGAAACUACAAGAGCGCAUAUGAUCACACGGAAUUGUGACAUAGACAGGCCUUGAAAUCUACUUCCAUAAGAAAACUACAUGAUCGCAUAUGAUUACACAGAAGUGUGAAUGCGUGGAAAUGAACAGAUGGAGAAACCAUCUCCCGGUCGGCAGGCUUCCUUCUAGAGGGGCAGAGUGGGUGUGGGGGGACCACAUUACCUUCCUGUGUUGGGAUUUCUUUUAUUGUUCUCUGGUGGGAAACCAUAGUGUGUUACCUUUAUAAUUAAAAUCAGUAAGUGCACCUGCUAUGCAAAGCCUGCAGUGGGGCUCACCCACAUGUCUUUGGGACCCUGUCUCACUUGUGGAAGGCAUGGUGUGAGGCUUCAGGAGAUAGAGAAAUGCUAUGUAAUAUGCUCGGGCCUUACAUGGCCACCAUGGACUUAUUUUGACCAUAGCCUCCAGGACGUAUCCAUGUCCUCCUGCUUGGAGGGGCAACGUAGUUUUUUAAUUUUAUUUUAUUUUAUUUUUUGAGACAAAGUCUUGUUUUGUCACCAGAAUAGAAUGCAGUGGCCAGAUCUCAG